AAGCUCAGCAUGUGCUAGGAGAUCUGCCCUGCUGCUAAAACCAACAUUCACAAGAGCCCUGAGCCUCUAUAAACACGGUCUAUAUCUUUUACAUGUGCUGGUACCUGUCAGCUAAACACAAAUGGAACAGUUGGACACCUGUCACUUGCUAUAAGAGACAUUGGAGUCUAGUAGAAGAUGAAAGUAAGGACCACUAGUGAUGGCCUGGGAUACAGUGGAUAAUCUCGGUGUCUUUGAUGUCUAGCCAGCUUCCAGUGACCAAUCCCCCAGUCUGAUGAUGACAAUUCUCUGAACCAUCUUCUACUGCUGUCUUGCUGAGCAACAGAAGCAGAGUUAUCCUGGUAAAUGCUUAAUAACAAGGUCCUCUGGGCGGAGAAUGAUCUAUGCUUAUCUACUUUUAAAUAUAAUUUGCAUUAUUAACACCUUCUUAAGUCUAUACAAUCAACAAAACAAUAAAUCAAACCCCAAUUUGGAGGACUGUUGUUUUCUGAGAUGUAAAUGCUCCCAUUGAAAAUUUAACAAUCACUCUUGAAGUUGGUUAGACCCUAUUUCAACACCCCUUCUGAAGAGGUGGAGUAAUUCUCCUUGGAUCACAGACCAGAAGUGGCAAAGCUAGGAUGCAAGACCAAGUCCUCUCUAUUAGCUCCUGUGCUAUGCCGACUGUCAUUGUUCUCUCCAAAUAUAUCCUCCAUCUUCUUGAUGGUUGCUGACAGUCUGUAAUUAGAGAUGAAUUCCUUUGGCUUAAGGCUAAGGAACCCAUUAAGCCCCAUCAGUCCUUCAUUUGAAUCAGCUCUUCAUUGUGAGGGCAUAUUUUGACAGAGAGGAGUAUGAAGAGAACAUUAUAGGGGGCAGUAGGCUCCUAGAGAGAGGAAGUAGUCCCUAUUGUUUAGGGGUGGGGUUCUUAACUCAGGGUCCCAUAGAUGUCAAAGAAUUUGUGAAUACAUUUCUGAGAAUGGUCUGGGAAUUUUAAUGGAUAGAAAAAUACAUUUUUUAUUUUAUUUUUUAUUACCCUCUAAUUGAAAAUUAGCAUUUCCUUCAAUUAUGAGUGCUGGUAAUAAACAAUAUUCUGAGAAGGGGUCCACAGGUUCUCCCAGACUUCUAAAGGGAUCCAUGACUGAAAAAAGUUAAGAGACCCUGGAUUACAAAAAACAAAGACAAGGCAGACAGUGUCAAAUAUCAAAAUUGUCCAUGGCACAGAUUUUACUGGUUCUGGUCCUGGGAAGAGACACCAUAUCUUCUCCUUUCUUUGUAUUCCCUGUCCCAUUAUUCCUCUAACUCACUCCUUCUCUCCUGUUGAAUGGCUAAUCAGAGUGAGAUUGGAAGACUGGGGCAUUCAGGAGAUGAUAGAAUUGAGGGAAUUUUCAUGAGGUCAUGUGCAAAGGAAAAGAGAUCUGUAUUCAUCCCUGAUGUUUUUGUGCUUUGAAUUAUUGCUGUCAGUUUAGUCUCUGCCAAUAGCAUUAACUUAUUUUGGCCCAUUCAACCUGAGAUCUUUGGUGGCAUUAGCUUUACCGGUAAAAGAAAUCUUUAUUUCUCACAUACAUUAUUUAUUAUGUGAGGGGCACAUUACAGAGUACACCUCAUAACUGCAGCUGGCUUCCUUUUAUAUUCUUUUGGCCAUUUUAGCUGAUGUUUCAUCCUUCAUAUCUCCUAACCUCAUUCCAAAGCCUCUGAAUUGGAGCUGCCCCAGACCUCCUGCAGUCUACCUUUCUGCUUUCCAUCCCCAAAGCUGCCAAGACUAAUAGAAGUUAUGGGUUUGUCAGUGUGAACGCAGGGGACCCAAAUCUGGCUUGUCAAAAGUUCUCUCUCCAAGACCUGACAAAAUGGCAAAUGGGACAUGGUGUUGGAGGUGCGGAGAGGAAAGUAGGUAGACAAGGGGAAAAGGCUAACUGCAGGUUUUACUUGUUGGCAAAAUGAUCCAUCAGGAGAUUAUUAUUAAUAAUGUCCAGGGCACACACAGAAUCUAUGCCAGUUUAGGAUUCCAAAAUGCUUUGCCACAGUAAAUUAACUCUCUCUGUCCCCUGCUGAGCCAGGCACACAUUAUUACUCCCAUUUCAUACAGUACAGACAAGACAGAGAAUGGGAAAUGCUGGAGGCUGCAAAAUCAGGAGCAGGACCAGGAUGCAGAGAGAAAGACUUUUAGUCUGUGAAUCCAGUCUUGAAGCCCUGAAGAUGCAGUAACAGACAGGCAUUUAUUAGCCCCCUCUCUUGAAACUCUUACAGAAGUGUUGUGAGGUUGAGAUGAUUUGAUGGAUGUAAGCACUUUUCAAACCUUAGAUAACUGAUGUUUGUAUACAUCGGUUAACAGUUAGUAACUACAUCCUAAGUGCCUACAGUGAGUCAGGCACUGGGUUAAUGGGGUAAUGUGGGGAUAUUGCUACACAAAUACAGUUCCUGCCCUCAGGAAGUUUGUGAUUUCAUGAGUAAAGACAAUACACAGAAGGAAGCUGAAAGCGGGAGUGGGAUGUCCAACACAUAUCCACUGGUGAGGUAUUGCUACUAGAAGCAAUACUGAGGAGAUGAAUUUUAUAUUUAGAGUCAGGGAUAGCUUUUAUGUUGAAUAAAAAAGAUUUGUCAUCAUCAGUAUGGUACAAAGUAAACCUCAGAUACCAGCUAUCAUUGUGGUUGUUGAUUAUUAUUAUUAUUAUUAUUAUUAUUAUUAUUAUUAUUAUUACUACUAUUGUUGACCUCUAGUCACUAUGACUUUAGCCUGGUGAUGACAUAAUUCCUUGUAUUGUAUUUCUUCUGAACUCAAGCACUAUUUAUAGAGCAAUAUAGGUGUGUGUUGGUAAAUGUUUAAAGCAAGUUCUCUCAGGGAAAAUGUAUACUUAUCAAUUUUUAGCUUAAUCUGAAUGUUUGACAAUUUCCUACACAAAAUAAUGAACAAAGCAGUAAAUCAAUCCCUAAUUGUGGGCUUGCUGAUUUCAGAGGCCUAAAUACUCACACUAAAAAUUUGGAACAACCUCAAAAGCUGAUCAGAAUUGCUUGCCGCAUACCUCUGGUCGUAGAGUACAUAGAUAGAGUACAUAAAUAGUAGUUACACUGAAUGAAAUCAUUCCACUGUCUUCUCUUAGUGCUGAGAGAAGACUGGAGAGAAUGGCUAAAUGUUACUCUUAUGGGCUAUUAGGAUGAUUGAUGAAUAUAGCUUUCACCUCAGAUUAAAAUCACAACAAAAAUUGCCUUAAAGCCAUAAGCACAGAUGUGAUUUACUUGCAUUUUGUCCCUUCUAUGUAUCUUCUUUCACCUUAUAUUUGGCUUAUUUUUGGUGUUGAGGACAGGAAAAUGAUGUUUUUGCCACUAUUAGAAACUCUUAAGAGGACUUUUAGUGCAUGUGCUUUAGUAAGAGGUACAAUUCCCUCCAAUAAGGAAAAAAUACUGAUUCAAAGGCCAUGAUGGUAGCUAAGCAACAGAGUAUCAUUAUCUGUGUAUUCUAGUUCACCUUCCUAAUUCUUACUGGUCACCAGCUGAGUCAGUAGGCAUAUGGCACUGGUGAAUAUAUUCACCUACCUUACUGAACUUAUAGUGAACGGAUUCUGAACAAUUCUCUCCAUUUUCCAUUAGUUGUUCUGCUUGGCUUUAUUUCCAUGAAUAUCAUAUGCCUAUCAUGUUCCCAAUAUCAUGCCCCCAUCAUAACCCAUUGCUCAGCACCUUCUGACAUCCCAGCCCUCUCUUUCAGCUUCCUUUCAUGUAUUGUCUUCACUUAUUCGAUUGUAAGCUCCUUGAGGACAGGGACUCUAUUUUGUAUAUUGGUCUCCCCACGUUACAUUGUGCCUGGGACAUAGUAGGCAUUUAAUAAAUGUUAAUUGCUUGGUAACUAAUUCAUUCACUCAAAUGUAAGCUCACAAAUAAAAAGAAUGAAAACUGUUUUCACAGUUAAAAGGAACAUGUGGUCCAGAGCCUCUAGAGGCAAUACUGAGAAGAUGAAUUUUAUAUUUAGAGUCAGGGACAGCUUUUAUGUUGAAUCAAAAAAAUGUUUGUCACCCUCAGUAUGGUACAGGGUUAUGGUGUGGGCAGUGGGAUCUGCUCCUUGACCAUCUUCCCUCUCCUGCAUCACCCCACUGAGGAUGAUGAACCCCAGCUUGCACCUGAAUGGUCUCACCAACAGAAAGGAAGAACAAGACUGGGAACCCAAACUCCACCUUCAGUCACAAUCAUAGACAUACCUGGUAUAGAAUUAAGAGACCAUCUAAUCCUAUCCUCUCAUGCUAUAGGUGAGACACAUGACAGUUAAAGGACUUGCCCAGGGUCACACAGGUAGAUGCUCAAAGCGGUAUUUGAACCCUGUUGCUUUAACUCCUGAGCUAGUACUCUUUCCAAUGUACUACACUAUCUGGUUGAAGGGGACCACCCACCUUGCUAUCCAGCUUGGAUUCUAAAAUAGUGUAACUAAUUGAGAUUUCUAUUGAGAUAUUAGUCUCACCCUUGCAGGUGCCCAUAACUCUCAUUUUGUCCUUUGGCUACCCAAACAUAGUCUCUCAUUACUAAAUUUCUUGAUGAGUACGCUCCAUGCACUCAAAUGCUUUCUUUCCCCCUGCUCUCCUACAAGAAUUCUCAUUUGUUCAGUGGUACCCUCUCAGCUAGCUGUCCCAUAGGGAAGUCAUCUGACAAACUUAUUUCCAUUAAGGAAUUAAUGAUGAAUAACAGCUUUUUUCUCUUCUCACCUUCAGGGUGUUCAUAUUUUAAAAGAGAAUGCUUGGAGAGGCUUGGACAGUGACUUCAAAUUUAACACAAUGAAUCUCUAAAGGUGAAAUUUCAGAAAAUGUGAUAAAUAGGUUUAGUGGUGGCAUAUUUUGGGCAGGGAAGCCUUCAUGGUGCCCUUCAAAUCACAGACUUUCUAUGUUCAUUACUCAAAUUCUGCUUAAAGGGUAGAGGCCGUGGGUCCAUUUUGACCCUAUAGUUUUGAACUCUAGAUGUCUGGAGUGAAUUAUAAAAACCCUGCCUUUUAUUUUAGGUCAAUGUGUUGGUAUCCAAAAGUCUUUUCCACCAUUUUUCCCUUUACUGUGAGAAGGAUAUUGUGGCUUUUUUCAGGUUUUGUGAUCUCAUUGGUAUAGGAAAUGCUUGGGAAGGAAACUCCCUCCAAAAAUGGAGGACACCUUCUCUAUUACUAAAAAUUGGCCAGAUGUUCAGGUGGGAGGGGAGCUAGGUGGUACAACAGAUAGAAUACCAGGACUAGAGUCAGGAAGAUGUGAGUUAAAAUCCAGCUCCAGACACUUAUUUAUCCACGUGAUCCUGGGCAAGCUAUUUAGCUUUGUUUAUCUCAGAGGUCUCUUCAUCUGUCAAAAGAUCUGGAGAAGGAAAUGAUGAAUCAUUCUAGUAUCUCUGCCAAGAAAACCUUAAGUGGGGGCCAUGAAUGGGGUCAGACACAACUGAAAAAAAGACUAAAGGACCACCACUCAGGGGUUCUGACUUGCCCAGAGGCACACAGUCAGUGGGGUGGCAGAGCUAUACAUUAAAGCUAGGUUGCCUGGUCUCUUCUAUUACUUCUUUAUCUACCAUACCAUACUGGUUUCCAAGAUAGAGCAAAUACUAAAUUUGGACUCUUUAACAGACAAUCCUGAGAGUCAAUUUGGUGUAACAGAGUGGCUGAUAUAUAGUGGGUUCUUAAUGAAUACUUACUGACUGCAGUGAACUGGGUUUGGAAUAAGGAAGACUUAGGUUCAAACCCUAUUUCUAGUACAUACUGGCUAUGUAAUUUUGGGCAAAUCACUUAACCCCUCAAUUCUUUCACAUCACUCUCUUAGGUUCUAAAAUAGCAAUCUGCAUUGGAUAAAGAUACAAAUUUGUAUUUGAACCCCAUAUUCAGAGUUCCCCAUGUUGGUGAAAUCUCAGAAAUGGAUGAAAAAGAAAUCCCCUAAACAAAAUAUACAUAUUAUAACAUGGAUUCCUAGACCUUUAACCUCUCAUGCCUGGUAUGAUGCCUGAAUAUAAUAAAUGCACCUUUGAAAGGGCUUCACAAUUUAAGUGUAAUUUUUUUCCAUUUUUUUGUUUUUAUUUAAAAAGUAUUUUUUCAUGUUUCCAUGAUAUAUUUUCUUUCCCUCCCCUUUUCACUUCCCUCUCUUAUAGUCAACAAGCAAUUGCACUGGGUUAUACAAAUGUUAUCACUUGAUACCUAUUUCCAUAGUAUUUAUUUUUGCAAUAGAGCCAUCUUUUAAAUCCCAACCGCCAAAUCAUAUACCCAUAUAAACAAGAGGUAAGUCAUGUUUUUCUUCUGCAUUUCUGUUCCCAUUGUUCUUUCUCUCAAUGUGGAGAGCAAUCUUUCUCAUAAGUCUGUGUGUAGUUUUUUUUUAAAGACCAUGUAAAACUUAUAGCCCACAUAUAACAGAACUCUAAUUUUAUUUUCCUUUCCUUGAAUUACACCUCAGUUAUCAGCUUGAAAUCAUGGCAAUUCCUUGAGAAAAAAAGGUUAUUCCUGAGGCAGCAAAAAGAAGGAUUGAAAUAUGGCCGGAAAAAGAAAGUUAUCACUUAAUUUUUUUUUGGAAAUGGUUUUAUGCCACAUGGGGCUGAGGAGACAGCUUAAUAACUAGACUGUGUGCUUACCGUUGGCGACAGAUUCACUCUCCUUCAACUGCUGAUAAGACAACUCAUUCAUCUCAUCUAUAUGGGUCCUGCCAGAGGGUGACCUUAAUGCUUGAUGAGAUUCCCCUAGUGUAGGUUGGGAUGUCUUACCUCAUUGGAACUAACUGAUGGACAAGCAUGGAUCUUCUUAGUGAUUAUCAUUAGGAAACCAAGCACUCGGUGGCUGUUGCUCUUCAUGUAUUAAAGUAGAGAAAAAAGCCUUAGAGUAUAAGUGACAAAUGCACCAGUUACUCACAAACUGAUAGUGGGAAUCUGUACCUUAAUAGUUUAGCUCUGGCUAUGAAUAGAAAGAUAAACAUUAAGCACUAGGGACCAAGCUCCAAUUAAAGAGAGGGCUCAGGGCUUCAGCACUGAUUUAGAGCAGGAAGACAGAACCUUUGCAGUUUUAUGUUUGAAGAGAAGUAGAGAUAAAAAAAUUCAGAGAAUCUAGGAAGACUUGUAUGGACUGAGUCAGGGCAGAGAAAGCAGAACCUGAAGAAGUAUCAGCUAUAAGAACAGACAUGAAAGGAUAGAAACUGGGUUUGGAAUGGCAUUGAAAUAGAGAGCUGUCAGGUGAAAAGACACCCUCCACUCAUGUAGAUCAGUCUCUUCUAUGCAAUUUAAUAGUUUGAGACAGUUAUCUUGAGAACUAAGAGGUGAAGUAAUAUGCUUAAAGCCCCAUAGCCCAGCCCCCCUCUCUCUAUACAUACAUACAUACAUAUAUAUGUAAUACAAUAUUAAAUACAAGACAGGACUUGAAUCCAAAUUUUUAUGGCUUUGAGUCCAGUUUUCUAUACACUAUCUCACUUUACCUCUAAAGUCAUUCUAGGGGAUAUUGAGGCAUUUUUUUCCUUUUAGCUCCCCACAUUUUAAGUAAAUAUUUCGGAGAUCAUCUUAGGUUGGUUUUUCAUUAGGGGUUUCUGUAGUUUUCACAUUCUAUUGCUACUUCUCACUCUACCCCACUAAAAUUAUCUAUCUUGUUUCUAUUUCCACAGCUAAAUCUUCUCAACUCUUUAUUGAAGUUGUUUCUUAUUUCUUCAUGUUGCCUUCAGUUCUUUGGAUUCACCACUGAGCCAUUCUUUUUUUAUCUAACUCAUUAAAAAUAUUGCUCCGGAAUAGUUUUCUUGCCUCUGCCUAUUUCACCUAUUAAAAAACUACCUUCUUACUUUCUCUUGCCUGACAUUUUAAAGCUAAUCUUUUCCUUAUCAUUUCAAAUAUUCUUAGCUACUUUUCCAUUUUUGAUUUUUUUCUUACAUAGAUGACACAAUGGAAAAGACCAUGGGUUUAGAGUCAGGAAGACCUAAAUUGGAAUCCUGCCUCAGAUAUUAUGUGACUAUGGAUCAGUAACUAAACUUCUUUCAAACUCAGUUCCCUCUUCUGAAUAAUGAUGAUACAAAUAUUAGUUAUAUUGAAGCUGCUGCUCAUAUGUUCAUAUGUUAAGCUCUUUGAAAACUUUAAAGCACUUUAUAAAUAUUAGUUGUUAUUAUGCUAGCUUUAUAUCUAGAUGGGCAGCUAGGUGACAUAGUGGAUGGAGUGUGGGCCCUUGAGUCAGGAAGACCUUUUCUUGAGUUCAAAUCUAGCCGGAGACAAUCACUAGCUGUUUGACUGCAGAGAAGCCACUUAACUCUACUUGCCUUGGUUUCCUCAUUUAUAAAAUGAACCAGAGAAGAAAAUGGCAAAAUGCUCUAGGAUCUUUGCAAAGAAAACCCCAAAUGGGGUCAUGAAGAGUCAGACAUGACUGAAAAAAUGGCUGAACAAAAUGUAUAUUCAAGUUCUUUGGGUCAGGAGAGAUAGUGCCUUGUUAUUCCCUUUCUGCUGGCUCCAACUCUUAUAUUUUCUUCCAAUUCUGGGCCAAUUAAUCACAAAGAAUUUCAGAAUUUCAGGACCAGUAGGGAUCUCAUUGACCAUCUGGUCCAACUCAUAUCCAAAAACCUCUUCAAUGAUUUUAUAAGUUGUGAUCUAUAUUUUGAAUGGCGAUAUCUAAAUAGGAAGAACCUAUUGCCUCUUAAUAAAAUCUAUAGCAUUUUUGAGAUCUAAAAGUGAUAAGAAAGUUUAUUUCUUAAAGCAAGUCUAAAUUUACCACUUUGCAACUUUCACUGAUUACUCUUAGUUUUAUACAAAUCUCUAUUGUCAGGAAGACUACUCUUCCCCAUGGCAGCCCUUUAAACAUUUAAAGAGAGCUAUGCACCAGCUCCUCCUUAUACUAAAUCUUCUCUUCUCCAGGCUAAACAUUAUUAAUUCCCUUACAUGGUUUGAUCUUGAGGUCCUUCAUUAUCUUGUUGUAUUAUGAGUACUCUCUAUAUUUAUAGUUUUCUAAACUGGGGUACCUAGAGCUGAAUACAACCAUCUAGAUGUGGUCUGAUCAGGUCAGGAAUACAGAAGGAUCACCAGUUCCUUAUUUCUGAAUACUCUGCCUUUCAUAAUAAAGCCUUAAUCUUAUGAGUAUUUUUUGCUAAUAUAUAAUACUUACAUUGAGCAUUCAGUCUGUUAAGUUACCAGACAUUUUUAAGAUGAACUGUUCUUCAGUCAUAUCUUUCAGAGCUUAUCCUAGAGCUCCUAGAGAAAUUUAUUUUUUGAUUUCCAAGUAAAAUAUUUUAUAUUUAUGCAUAUUAAAUUCUAUCUUAUUAGAUUCAGCUCAGUAUUAGAUUAUAUAUCUUAAAACUUUAGCUCAUAUCUAAUUCACUUUCUUAGCUUUGUGUUAUCAGUGAAUUUGAUAAGCAUGAAUCUCUUUGCCUUUAUCCAAUGCCUUUAUCUAACAGUGCCAACAAAGCCAAAGACAGUGACUUUAGUUUCAAUGAAGGUGAGUUAGAUACCCCUAGAUAAAAAUUCUUUUCUAGAUGGAAUCUCUGACCAAUAUUACUGUGUGCUAUUAGAAGUAGAGGGAUCUAUAUAAAGGUUUAUAUGAGGACCUAUAUAAAAGAGAGACAUGGCCAUAUAAAAGGUAUACAGAUAACUCAAUAUAUGUCUAUUUCCAAUAAUGGAAAUUCUCCUCAAAAGCAAAAUCCUUUUUGUCAGAAAUGGGCUUGUAGUUUGAACUUUCUAUGUGAAGAAUAACACAUUUUCGCAAACUAGCCUAUAAAAAAUAUUUUAUAUCAGUUUUGUGUCUUACAAAGUUCUCUUAUUUGUAGAUCCUUUACAAAUCUUGCAAUCUUCAAGGAAUCCUCACAGACAGCUAACUAUAAAGGGAUUUGGUAAUAAGGCAUAACACUCAAUCCAUUCUUCCUCGUAUUACUGGCUACUUUCACCUCUUUUAUGUUGAGUUUACUUGAUCUCCCAGGGAUAUUUCCCCUAGAUUUGAAUUCCUUUUUUAACUCCUAAGUUUAUAGAUUCUCAAUAUCAAUGAAAUAACAGGUCUGAAACAAAAACAAACAAUGAAAACAUCAGAACUAGUGGUAUGAGAGAGCAGAAUGAUAACUCAAAAAUUGUUGGUAAGUCCGAAAAAAUCUCAAGAAACAAAUAUGCCAUAUUUCAGAAAACCAUAAAAGAAACCUUCUUGAAGGAACUGAAAACAGGAUAGAAUGGAAAAUUUCAGAAGGCAGAGGACAACAAUAGAGAGAAACCUCAAAUUUAGUUCAACCAGAAAGAUAGCAAUCUAAUUAAAUUUUCAGAGACAAUGAGAAGAUCUCACAAACAUAAGGAAGAAGCAAUCCAAACAUAAAAUGACAUCUAUUUGAAUUUUGCAGGACUGUUUUUUUUUUCAAAACAAGAACAAGAAGUAGGAAAUAGAAUAUAAUACAUUCCCAAAGCAAGGAAAUUACCUGUAACACAAAAUUCUUAUUCAGCAAAAUCAGGCAUAGCUUUUCAUCAGAAAUGUUUCUUUUAUAAAUUCAUCUGAAACUUUUCAGAUAUUCUUGGGAACACAAAAUUUGGCUUAGAAUUUUGAGUCAAUAAGUCAAUUCAAGAAGUAACUAUUAAGUACUUAUUAUGUGUCAGGUCACAAACUAAGUGCUACAAUAAAUAAAAGGUAAAAAAAAAUCCUUAUUCUCAAGGAGCUCAUGGAGACAAAAUACAAAUAACUAUGUACAAACAAGAUAUUUAUGGAGCAAAUUUAAAAUAAUCUCAUAGGGAGGAUAUGGGACUCCAUCUGAGACUUGAAAGAGGAUAGAGGACAGAGUAGAGAGAGGGGAGAGCUCCAGGAGUGGAGAUAGUCAGUGAUAAUGACAGGAGUCAGGAGAUGGACUGUCAUGUAUGGAAGAAGACCUGUGUUGCUAAAUCACUGGGUACAUGGAGGGGAUUAGGAGUAAGAAGACUGGAAAAGAAGUAGGAAGAUAUUCAGAUUCAGAGGUUGAGCUUUUAAUGUCAAACAGAUUAUUUUAUAUUCUGGAGUGAUAGUGAGUCACCAAAAUUUAUUGGAAGUGACAUGGUCAGACCUGUGGUUUGGGAAAAUCAAUUUGACAGUCAUGUGGAGGAGGAAUUGAAGUGGGGAAUAAAACCCGAUAUUUUAAGACCAAUUAUCAGAUUAUUGCAAUAGUAUAGAUAUGAGGUGAUAAGGGUCUGCAUCAUGUUAGUGUAAGAAGAGAGACAGGGAUAUUUAAAAAAAUGAUAUGAAUGUAGAAGCAACAGGACUUGG